UCUUGGUCCAUUAGAGGAAGUAAAAGUCGUAACAAGGUUUCCGUAGGUGAACCUGCGGAAGGAUCAUUAUCGAGCGGAGGGGCUUCGCGCUCCGGGGGGCUUCGGCCCCCGACUCUUCACCCCAUGUCCACCUACCAAUGUUGCUUUGUCGGACCGUGGGGUCCGCCCCCCGCCGGGCCCAGGACCGAUGGCCUGGGUCGGUGCGUGCCCGUCGGAGACCCACCAAAUCCUGUUCAUCAGUGACGUCCGAGUUAGAAUUCACAAUAGUUAAAAACUUUCAACAACGGAUCUCUUGGUUCUGGCAUCGAUGAAGAACGCAGCGAAAUGCGAUAAGUAAUGUGAAUUGCAGAAUUCAGUGAAUCAUCGAAUCUUUGAACGCACAUUGCGCCCCUCGGUAUUCCGGGGGGCAUACCUGUUCGAGCGUCAUUACGCCCCUCAAGCGCAGCUUGGUAUUAGGCUUCGUCCCCCGGGCGUGCCCGAAAAGCAGUGGCGGUCCGGUGCGGAUUCAAGCGCAGUAAAUUUCAUCAACCGCUUCGGAUGAAGCCCCGCGGCCAGCCAACAACCGUCCCAUCUUCAAACAUUGACCUCGGAUCAGGUAGGGAUACCCGCUGAACUUAAGCAUAUCAAUAAGCCGGAGGA
rnacentral:rRNA from 1 species